UGGGGAAUAUUGCACAAUGGGCGCAAGCCUGAUGCAGCCAUGCCGCGUGUAUGAAGAAGGCCUUCGGGUUGUAAAGUACUUUCAGCGGGGAGGAAGGGAGUAAAGUUAAUACCUUUGCUCAUUGACGUUACCCGCAGAAGAAGCACCGGCUAACUCCGUGCCAGCAGCCGCGGUAAUACGGAUGGUGCAAGCGUUAAUCGGAAUUACUGGGCGUAAAGCGCACGCAGGCGGUUUGUUAAGUCAGAUGUGAAAUCCCCGGGCUCAACCUGGGAACUGCAUCUGAUACUGGCAAGCUUGAGUCUCGUAGAGGGGGGUAGAAUUCCAGGUGUAGCGGUGAAAUGCGUAGAGAUCUGGAGGAAUACCGGUGGCGAAGGCGGCCCCCUGGACGAAGACUGACGCUCAGGUGCGAAAGCGUGGGGAGCAAACAGG
rnacentral:rRNA from 1 species